rnacentral:rRNA from 1 species
CCCUUAGAUGUUCUGGGCCGCACGCGCGCUACACUGAUGAAUUCAACGAGCUCCUAACCUAGGCCGAAGGGUCCGGGUAAUCUUUGAAAUUUCAUCGUGAUGGGGAUAGAUUAUUGCAAUUAUUAAUCUUCAACGAGGAAUUCCUAGUAAGCGCGAGUCAUCAGCUCGCGUUGAUUACGUCCCUGCCCUUUGUACACACCGCCCGUCGCUCCUACCGAUUGAAUGGUCCGGUGAAGCCUCCGGAUUGGCGCGCACCUCGGUGCCGCCGAGAAGUUGGCUAAACCUUACCAUUUAGAGGAAGGUGAAGUCGUAACA